AAGUCGUAACAAGGUUUCCGUAGGUGAGUAGUAUCGAGUAACCCCCCACGCACUUCGACGACAAAUGCUAACAUACAAUUUAGGUGAACCUGCGGAAGGAUCAUUAUCAGGGUUCAGGGCCCGCUUCGGCGGCCCAAACUCUCACCACUUGUUGUCCGCUCCAAACGUUGCCUUGGCGGCGCGGCCCCGGUCGCCCGUCAGGGGUUUUCCAACCGGAAUCCUGCAUGCGUAAUCGUCGGAGAAGCUCAUUAUAAAUGAACAAAACUUUCAACAACGGAUCUCUUGGUUCUG
rnacentral:misc_RNA from 1 species